rnacentral:rRNA from 1 species
ACUCCUACGGGAGGCAGCAGUGGGGGAAUAUUGCACAAUGGGCGCAAGCCUGAUGCAGCCAUGCCGCGUGUGUGAAGAAGGCCUUCGGGUUGUAAAGCACUUUCAGUCGUGAGGAAGGUGGUAUGUGUAGUUAAUAANANCACUUUUAACUUGGUUAGCGUUAGCGACAGAAGAAGCGACCGGCUAACUCCGUGCCAGCAGCCGCGGUAAUACGGAGGGUGCGAGCGUUAAUCGGAAUUACUGGGCGUAAAGCGCAUGCAGGUGGUUUGUUAAGUCAGAUGUGAAAGCCCGGGG